CACAAAUGUUAAAAUGACUGCGAGACAAAUGAUCCUAUAAUGGAUCCCCAGGGCCUCCACAUGGACAGGACUGUAUAAUAAACAGCCUCCCAACCCACUGAGUGCAGCUGGACUAUUGCUAGAAUCCAGACAAAGAGUGGAAAACCAUGGACACUUCAACCUACAGAGAAACACUUGAAACUAUGUGCCUCUGAACAAAUCCACAUGGACUCCUUUGGAGGAAUGUAGUGAAAGGCGAGAAUGUGGAAAAAAAAAGUUUUUGACCCCCAGAGGAAGUGACCCUGAUAGGAUCAACACACAGCUGAGGAUCCACAGAGGGGGUGCUAUGGGAGAUUAAUUAAAUUACAGAGCUUUUAAAUGAAUUUCAUAUAUUCCUCAUUAGUGUAGAUCAACUGUGUGAUGAUGACAUUAAGAUACGAUCUGGAAGCAUACAUUCAAUUAGUUUUAUCUCCUCGUGUGGCAGACAUUAAUGUGGUUGCAAUAUCACACUUGACAGCCAGUGUUGAAAUAAAGUUGUGUUGACCUUUUGCUUCUGGAACUAAAGAAACUUGAUGUCUGUUUAAUGACAGAGAAAGCAAGACAUGUCUAUCGGAGUGUCCAUCAACAGCAGCCCAGAAUAUUUAUAAGAAAAAUAACUAAAAACGACAGCAGCAGUCCAAUCAGAUUGGAAACCAGUUUUUUGAAAUCGCCUCACUGUUAUUUGGAAUCAGUUACAAUUGCAUGCUCAUUUCCGAUUGCAUUUACAGUAACUGUUUUGCACGUGUGGCAUGUGUUGUAUGUCACUUUUGUUUUCUUGAGCAAAAUGGACAACAUAAAUGGCGAUUGUAGUCUGAUUAACAAAGGUGAGCUACAAUCACAUUAUCCAGGUCUGUAAGUCCAACUUCGCAAAACAAGGACUAAUACGAUCUUAAGUAAGACUAAACAUUCACAUGACAUAUUAAAAAGACAAAUUCAGGUUUUUGUCCAAUUGAAAUCGAGUUCUCUC